GACGAACGCUGGCGGCGUGCUUAACACAUGCAAGUCGAACGGAAAGGCCCUGCUUGCAGGGUACUCGAGUGGCGAACGGGUGAGUAACACGUGGGUGAUCUGCCCUGCACUUCGGGAUAAGCCUGGGAAACUGGGUCUAAUACCGGAUAGGAGCCAUUUCUAGUGUGAUGGUUGGAAAGUUUUUUCGGUGUAGGAUGAGCUCGCGGCCUAUCAGCUUGUUGGUGGGGUAAUGGCCUACCAAGGCGGCGACGGGUAGCCGGCCUGAGAGGGUGGACGGCCACAUUGGGACUGAGAUACGGCCCAGACUCCUACGGGAGGCAGCAGUGGGGAAUAUUGCACAAUGGGCGCAAGCCUGAUGCAGCGACGCCGCGUGGGGGAUGACGGCCUUCGGGUUGUAAACUCCUUUCGCUAGGGACGAAGCUUUUGUGACGGUACCUAGAUAAGAAGCACCGGCUAACUACGUG
rnacentral:rRNA from 1 species